GCUUAUAAUUGUUGAUGUUUAUGGGGUUUUUUUUGGGGGGGGGGAUCUGUCCUUUUCUACUGUAGCAUUCUGAGAUUCACUGAAUGAAAUGUGCAUUAUAAAUAAAAUGUAUUAUUAUUAAUAUUAUUAUUGUUUAAGUUGAAUG